rnacentral:lncRNA from 1 species
CUGAGGUGGACUCUUAUCAGAACGCCUGGGAGGUUCAGCGGAUCAGCUGGUGCUGAUCCAGAACAGAUGCAUCCUCAGAGACUCAGAACUCCUGAGUCACCUUAUAGAGGAGAAUGGAUCGGCCAGCUUCCGUGUGUGAUCCAAAGCCUGGAACCAACAUGGUGGAAUACCUCCACAAGGCCAAGCCCACAAGACCAUUCCCCUAUGUUCUGACAUUGGGAAAUGAUACACAGCAUGUGUCUCAGGCCUUUGUCAUCAUUGCUGAUCAGGCUGUGGAACAUGACACACUGCUUCAGGCCGUCGAUGGAAAGGCAUUCUUUAUUUUAGACAUUGAAUACCCGAGGCAGUGUGAACACGUCUGGAAAUUCCUGCAAACCACCGUCUAUGAAAUCCCAGGAGGGGAGUCGAAACUAGUAACGUUUCUGCAGAGUAGAAUACGUGCUAGCAAAAGAAGCAAACAGCUCCUUGGUGCAGAACACCCUCCCCUGUCUUCAUCUAACAAGACAGCUUCCUCAGCAGCUCCUGCAGAUGAACCCUGAGGUGGAAGACAUGCUGAACAACAAAGAUGUCAUAAACAAG